GCUUCAGACAAAGAGAACGGAAGUGACUUUCCCAAAGUCACACAGAUAAUAAAUAUCAAAGGUAGGACUUGAAAUCAGGACCUUUAACUCCAAAGUCAACACUCUUUCACUGGUACUUGGUCAGAGUAAGCCCAGACUCUACCUCUGCCUCUCUGGGUGACUUGGGGGAAGAAAAGAGUCUCUGGUUUUAUUUGAGGGGGAAACUUGCCCUUGACAGGACAACUGUGUCCCUGAUGGCCUGAAAAAUGGAGUUCAUCUGUUCUGGGACACAUUCAAAACAGGAAACAGUUUCAAGGACUGUGACCUCUAGCCGUCCAGAAGAGAGCCAGCCACCAAAGAACCCAGCUGACGAGAGAGGACUUUUGCUUUUCCACUUUCAUCCCUUCCAGAGUAUAAGGGACAAGAGGAAUUUCUUCCUCCUCUCCACAGUCCUAUUGGCCAUAUUGGUUUGCAUCAGAACCAGGGCCUGAGUAGGAGGCUGGAAGCAGAGAGAAUGAAAAGAAAUCCUCAGAGUUGGGAGCUGAGUCAAGCAUCAGGGAUAAGCCAGCCCAAGGGACUCAGUUAAGAGACCAGCUGAGGAUACUCCAUACCCAGGAGGGCACCACAAGAAGAGGAAGGAUAUUGGGGCCCUGGAGGCCCAGAAAUGUGAAUUGCUUUGCGCAGCCUGUGCCCUAAUUAUGUGCAUCUCUCCAAAUAUAUGCUAAGGACAUGGUCAUUUUUUCCAGUGAGAAAUGGGUGCCGUUGUGGGAGAUUGUGCCCCACAUUUAUGGAGAGGAAUGGUUUAUUACUAGGGAUCUUAUGAUAUGGUUUUAGUAAACAUUUCCAUUUUGA